UCUGCUUUGGGAGCAGAGGGUCGGAGGUUCGAAUCCUCUCGCCCCGACCA
rnacentral:tRNA from 1 species